CCUACGGGUGGCAGCAGUGAGGAAUAUUGCACAAUGGGCGAAACCCUGAUGCAGCGACGCCGCGUGAGUGAAGAAGGAUUUCGGUAUCUAAAGCUCUAUCAGCAGGGGAGUCGCAAGACGGUACCUGACUAAGAAGCCCCUGCUAACUACGUGACAGCAGCCGCGGUAAUACGUAGGGGGCAAGCUUUAUCCGGAUUUACUGGGUGUAAAGGGAGCGUAGACGGUAUGGGAAGUCUGACGUGAAAGCCCAGGGCUUAACCCUGGGACUGCUUUGGAAACUGGUAGACUAGAGUGCUGGAGAGGUAAGUGGAAUGCCGGGUGUAGCGGUGAAAUGCGUAGAUAUUACGCGGAACACCAGUGGCGAAGGCGGCUUACUGGACAGUAACUGACGUUGAGGCUCGAAAGCGUGGGGAGCAAACAGGAUUAGAUACCCCAGUAGUC
rnacentral:rRNA from 1 species